rnacentral:rRNA from 1 species
UACGUAGGGGGCAAGCGUUGUCCGGAAUCAUUGGGCGUAAAGCGCGUGUAGGCGGCUUGGUAAGUCUGCUCUGAAAGCCCGGGGCUCAACCCCGGGAGGCGGGUGGAUACUGUCAAGCUCGAGUCCGGAAGAGGAGUGUGGAAUUCCUGGUGUAGCGGUGACAUGCGCAGAUAUCAGGAGGAACACCAAUGGCGAAGGCGGCUCACUGGACCGGUACUGACGCUGAUGCGCGAAAGCGUGGGGAGCAAACGGG